GAUGAACGCUGGCGGCGUGCCUAAUACAUGCCAGUCGAGCGAACAGACGAGGAGCUUGCUCCUCUGACGUUAGCGGCGGACGGGUGAGUAACACGUGGAUAACCUACCUAUAAGACUGGGAUAACUUCGGGAAACCGGAGCUAAUACCGGAUAAUAUAUUGAACCGCAUGGUUCAAUAGUGAAAGACGGUUUUGCUGUCACUUAUAGAUGGAUCCGCGCCGCAUUAGCUAGUUGGUAAGGUAACGGCUUACCAAGGCGACGAUGCGUAGCCGACCUGAGAGGGUGAUCAGCCACACUGGAACUGAGACACGGUCCAGACUCCUACGGGAGGCAGCAGUAGGGAAUCUUCCGCAAUGGGCGAAAGCUUGACGGAGCAACGCCGCGUGAGUGAUGAAGGUCUUCGGAUCGUAAAACUCUGUUAUUAGGGAAGAACAAAUGUGUAAGUAACUAUGCACGUCUUGACGGUACCUAAUCAGAAAGCCACGGCUAACUACGUG
rnacentral:rRNA from 1 species